ensembl:lncRNA
CCCGCAUUCCUCCUGUCCAUCAAACCCUACCUGUUGAACAACAUUUGACAUGGAGCGGAAAAGGUAGCUUGCAGAAGGACUUCAAUUUAUUAAAAGUGUUUGACACUACAGGUCACUCCUCCUCCACGUACAUGUCAAUGCACACAUCCGCAAAGUGUAAUAGGAACACAGUAUCUGCUCUGGACAUUAUUUAUAAUGUUUGAAACUUGCUGUACUUCCACAAAGAGGAUAAAUUGAAUGUCACUGAAAUUUGAUACGUCAGUGGCUAUUUUGUAAUGUUGAAUUUUUAUCUCUUCUGUCUGUUAUCAGUGUUUUCAGCAGACGUACCCAAAGUGCUAUUACUGCUAUUAGUAUUUUUAUUAUGCGAUUUCAAAUGGGGAUGAUUACUCAGCUUCAUUAUGCAAUUUUGAUUCUUAACAAAACUACAGAUGACUGUGCUGAACACUGUUACUGUAACAGAGUGCAUAUUACUCAUCUCUUCAUUGGUUGCCAAACAUUUUAGAGGAUGUUGGAAUUCUUCUGGUAUCUUUAUGUCACAUGAAAUCAGCUGAUUUGUCUAAAAAGCUGUUAAAUAAUUUUUAGCAUUUUCUUCGUUUAUUUGUUUGCUUGUUUUUUUUUUCUUUUUUAUUGAGAAACAAUGCCUAACAAAUGUGUGACAUGUCAAAAACUUUACAUUUUUUUGGUUGAUGGAAUUAACCAACUGGAACAGAAUAAGUGGAAAGAGGCAGAACUAGAUUCCAGUCCCUUCCCCUUUCUUUCCUGCUGUCACCCUCAUAUUAGAGGAGCCACUGGGAGAACUGGAUGUGAUUUGUAUGUGUGUUUUUGAAGAGGGGUGCUCAUAAACAGCCAUGAAAGGGGCCCCUCUAUUCAGCCGGCCAGGCGAGAUGCGCUUCACUGGGCCAGCCUUUUGUUUUCCCCUGGUUCACAAAACCUUAAGCAUGGAAAAAAAAAGGGGGUUGAUUCUCUUGAUGUGUGCAGGCCCAAAUGAUGCCAUUAGAUUGGUGCCCGUUUUGGGUGAAAAAGGCUUCAGUAGCGCUUGAAGUGAUUUAAAAGAUGCAGGAGAGAGCGGCCCACAAAUCCUGUUUGAUAAUAACGCUGAAGGAGAAUGGGGAGGCAAAAUGCCAAGCUAGUGAUCAUUCUAUAGUAUGCAAAAUUGCUCUCAACCCUAUGAGUGCCAUGGAUGUUAAAACAAAAGAUGAGGAACAUUCCUUUGUCACGUGAUGAGGGUCAAUGUGCUGUGGUGGUGUGUGGGGUCAGGAAGUUCAACAAACUUCCCACGCUGCCUUUCACCACAAGACCAUGGUUAAAGCCUGUGACACUUCAUUAUAGGCAGGAGAAUUUUGUUUCCCAAAGGGGCAGUGCCUCAGUGCCCAUACAAGGAUGAGCCAUAAGGAAAAAGAAGAAACAAAAAGCAACAAUUAAAAAACAAAAAACAACCAUACUCAAUUUCCUCAUUCACGUGGCAGGACUAACACAUCAAUUACACAAAAGAACGUCUGGGAAAACAUUCCCACACUGUCCAUCACGUGGAGUCUAGAGAAAAUAUCAAGGUACUGUAUUUUAGUGUCACAAGAAAAAAUAACAAUAAUCUACUGAACAUGUGUUUCUGUAAUGCGACAAAGAUGAAAUUUUCUUGAACAUCUAAAAUUAUUUCGGCUAUUAUUCCGGUUAAGUCGAUGGUAAAACAGUGUCACCACAGUCCUGUCUGUCAACAGCAAUCAAAUAAGUAUGAGAACCUGGCAGUGUCAACAACGGGGUAGUGCCAAACAAAACCACUUGUGAGUAAAAGAGCUCCUGAUCAAGUCCGGUUCCACUACAC